rnacentral:rRNA from 1 species
CGCAGCCUGAUCCNGCAAUGCCGCGUGCAGGACGAAGGCCUUCGGGUUGUAAACUGCUUUUGUACGGAACGAAACGGCUCUCUCUAAUACAGGGGGCUAAUGACGGUACCGUAAGAAUAAGCACCGGCUAACUACGUGCCAGCAGCCGCGGUAAUACGUAGGGUGCGAGCGUUAAUCGGAAUUACUGGGCGUAAAGCGUGCGCAGGCGGUUUUGUAAGACAGAUGUGAAAUCCCCGGGCUCAACCUGGGACCUGCAUUUGUGACUGCAAAGCUAGAGUACGGCAGAGGGGGAUGGAAUUCCGCGUGUAGCAGUGAAAUGCGUAGAUAUGCGGAGGAACACCGAUGGCGAAGGCAAUCCCCUGGGCCUGUACUGACGCUCAUGCACGAAAGCGUGGGGAGCAAACAGGAUUAGAUACCCUGGUAGUCCACGCCCUAAACGAUGUCAACUGGUUGUUGGGUCUUCACUGACUCAGUAACGAAGCUA